rnacentral:lncRNA from 1 species
AAACCUGAAGCUCAGAGUUCGCUGGAUUGGAAAAAGGCGCCUUGAUCUCUUUUCCCAUUACACCUUGUGAGGGAGACCCUGGUGUGAAACCCUCUUAGGUCUCGUGGAGGGCAGUGGCCUAAUAAUGUCACAAUUGAGGAUGUCAUGGGGGUGACUGUGGAAUCUGUCCUGACGAUCAGGGCCUCACUGACGCCUGGAUGACCUUGAGCAGGCAUUUCCACUGGAAGAUCGUCCCCCUAACAGAGCAUUUGGGAUCAUGAUUUAGACCUGAUAUUGAGUUGAACUUGGCAAGGGAGAUUGAAAUCAAUGACUCCAGUUGUUUGACACCUCUCUGCGUCCACAUCCUUUACUAGCAUCUUCUCUACUUUGCUUUGUCCAAUGCGACAGGAACGUGCUGAUGCAAGCAGAGGUGUGAAAACGUGCUUGGGUGUUUCCACUUCUGCUGUCUUGGACCCCACUUCUGCCAUGAGAACAUGCACAGCUUGCAUGCUGGAGGGAUGUGGAAGAUGCACAGAGAAGAGCUGAGUGAUCCCAGCAGAGGCCAUCCUAGACCAGCCAGCCCCCAGCGAGCUUGUCAGGGGCAGCAGAUGGCUGAGCGAGCCCAGCUGAGGGUCGCCAAGCAGCCUGUGGACUGGUGAGGAAUAAUAUAUGAAUUGCAGCUGUUUUAAGCCAUGAAGGAUUAGUUUGUUAUGCUGCAAUUGUGGAUUGAUAGAUGGUGUAAGCAGAAAACAAUCUUUGCCACCUGCUCUGUGGAUUAUUUCUGGCUCCUGGAUAAAAAUCCCAAGUUUGGGGGAGGGCUAGAGUGAGUUCUUGUUCGUGUCCAUGUUCAAGUUCAUGUUCACCACCAGUUACUUUCAAGUGUAAGAACCAUCUCUGUUAAGUAAUUAGGAUGUGCAGUCCGGUGUAACAAUCAAAACGUCAAAACUUUAUCAAAGAUAGAAGGUUCUGCCCUCUCCUGGCUGAGAAUGGUGGUGGGGAGGAGGAUGCGGUUGGAGUCUCUGUCUCCUUGCCCGGCCUCAUCAGGCAGUUGGAGCCAAGCAGGAGGGACAAACAAAGACGCCUGUGGCAGGUGCAGUUCCCUUCCUACACUAGCGCUCAGUGGCCCCAGCGGCUUUUCAAACCCGGCUCGCCUCCUCUGGCCUCCUUCCGUGUGCUUCUUGGCCCU